rnacentral:rRNA from 1 species
AAGUUCGGAAUAACCUGUCGAAAGACGGGCUAAUACUGGAUAGAGCACGACGGUCAUAAAGGCUGUCAUGGGAAAGGGAGCUCGUAAGAGCCCUCGCUUUAAGAUGAGUCUGCGGCCCAUUAGUUAGUUGGUGAGGUAAUGGCUCACCAAGACUGUGAUGGGUAGCUGGUCUGAGAGGAUGAUCAGCCACACUGGAACUGAAACACGGUCCAG